rnacentral:rRNA from 1 species
AGUGAACGCUGGCGGUAGGCCUAACACAUGCAAGUCGAACGGCAGCACAGUAAGAGCUUGCUCUUACGGGUGGCGAGUGGCGGACGGGUGAGGAAUACAUCGGAAUCUACUUUUUCGUGGGGGAUAACGUAGGGAAACUUACGCUAAUACCGCAUACGACCUACGGGUGAAAGCAGGGGAUCUUCGGACCUUGCGCGAUUGAAUGAGCCGAUGUCGGAUUAGCUAGUUGGCGGGGUAAAGGCCCACCAAGGCGACGAUCCGUAGCUGGUCUGAGAGGAUGAGCAGCCACACUGGAACAGGGAAAGCGGCAUGCCUCCUGCGGGAGGCAGAAGAGUGGAAUAUUGGUCAACGGGCGUAAGCCGGAGCCAGCCAUGCCACGUAAGUUGAUAAGGCCUUACAUUUGUAAAGCCCGUUCCUUGAGGAUUGAAUUCAGUAGCUUGAUACGCCUGCGGUCUAACGGUGCGCGAAGAAGAAGGUUCGUCAAACUUCGUG